rnacentral:rRNA from 1 species
AUGAACGCUGGCGGCGUGCCUAAUACAUGCAAGUCGAGCGAACAGACGAGGAGCUUGCUCCUCUGACGUUAGCGGCGGACGGGUGAGUAACACGUGGAUAACCUACCUAUAAGACUGGGAUAACUUCGGGAAACCGGAGCUAAUACCGGAUAAUAUAUUGAACCGCAUGGUUCAAUAGUGAAAGACGGUUUUGCUGUCACUUAUAGAUGGAUCCGCGCCGCAUUAGCUAGUUGGUAAGGUAACGGCUUACCAAGGCAACGAUGCGUAGCCGACCUGAGAGGGUGAUCGGCCACACUGGAACUGGGACACGGUCCAGACUCCUACGGGAGGCAGCAGUGGGGAAUCUUCCGAAUGGGCGAAAGCCUGACGGAGCAACGCCGCGUGAGUGAUGAAGGUCUUCGGAUCGUAAAACUCUGUUAUUAGGGAAGAACAAAUGUGUAAGUAACUAUGCACGUCUUGACGGUACCUAAUCAGAAAGCCACGGCUAACUACGUG